GCGGCAGGCCUAACACAUGCAAGUCGAGCGGUAACACAGAGAGCUUGCUCUCGGGUGACAAGCGGCGGACGGGUGAGUAACGCGUAGGAAUCUACCUAAUAGUGGGGGAUAGCCCAGGGAAACUUGGAUUAAUACCGCAUACGCCCUAAGGGGGAAAGCGGGGGAUCUUCGGACCUCGUGCUAUUAGAUGAGCCUGCGUAAGAUUAGCUAGUUGGUGAGGUAAGAGCUCACCAAGGCGACGAUCUUUAGCUGGUCUGAGAGGAUGAUCAGCCACACUGGGACUGAGACACGGCCCAGACUCCUACGGGAGGCAGCAGUGGGGAAUAUUGGACAAUGGGGGCAACCCUGAUCCAGCCAUGCCGCGUGUGUGAAGAAGGCCUUCGGGUUGUAAAGCACUUUCAGAUGUGAGGAAAGGUUGCAGAUUAAUACUCUGUAGCUGUGACGUUAACAUCAGAAGAAGGACCGGCUAACUCCGUGCCAGCAGCCGCGGUAAUACGGAGGGUCCGAGCGUUAAUCGGAAUUACUGGGCGUA
rnacentral:rRNA from 1 species